CCUACGGGUGGCAGCAGUGAGGAAUAUUGGUCAAUGGGCGCGAGCCUGAACCAGCCAAGUAGCGUGAAGGAUGACUGCCCUACGGGUUGUAAACUUCUUUUAUAAAGGAAUAAAGUGAGGCACGUGUGCCUUUUUGUAUGUACUUUAUGAAUAAGGAUCGGCUAACUCCGUGCCAGCAGCCGCGGUAAUACGGAGGAUCCGAGCGUUACCCGGAUUGAUUGGGUUUAAAGGGAGCGUAGAUGGGUUGUUAAGUCAGUUGUGAAAGUUUGCGGCUCAACCGUACAAUUGCAAUUGAUACUGGCAGUCUAGAGUACAGGUGAGGUGGGCGGAAUUCGUGGUGUAGCGGUGAAAUGCGUAGAUAUCACGAAGAACACCGAUUGCGAAGGCAGCUUACUAAACUGCCACUGACAUUGAUGCGCGAAAGUGUGGGUAUCAAACAGGAUUAGAUACCCGUGUAGUC
rnacentral:rRNA from 1 species